rnacentral:rRNA from 1 species
UACAGAGGUGGCAAGCGUUGUUCGGAAUUACUGGGCGUAAAGCGCGGGCAGGCGGUCUGUUAAGUCGUUUGUGAAAAUCCGGAGCUCAACUCCGGAAAUGCGUACGAUACUGGCAGGCUGGAGACUGGUAGAGGCUAGCGGAAUUCCUGGUGUAGCGGUGGAAUGCGUAGAUAUUCGGAAGAACACCAGUGGCGAAGGCGACUCACUGGACACAUAUUGACGCUGAGGCACGAAAGCGUGGGGAUCAAACAGG